CAUCAUCAUUAUUGUGCCAGUCAUAAA
rnacentral:piRNA from 1 species